CAGCAGCCGCGGGAAAACAGAGGGUGCGAGCGUUAAUCGGAUUUACUGGGCGUAAAGCGUGCGUAGGCGGCUUCUCAAGUCGGAUGUGAAAUCCCUGAGCUUAACUUAGGAAUUGCAUUCGAUACUGGGAAGCUAGAGUAUGGGAGAGGAUGGUAGAAUUCCAGGUGUAGCGGUGAAAUGCGUAGAGAUCUGGAGGAAUACCGAUGGCGAAGGCAGCCAUCUGGCCUAAUACUGACGCUGAGGUACGAAAGCAUGGGGAGCAAACAGGAUUAGAUACCCCUGUAGUCCCUGUCUCUUAUAC
rnacentral:rRNA from 1 species